GCACAAUGGGCGCAAGCCUGAUGCAGCCAUGCCGCGUGUGUGAAGAAGGCCUUCGGGUUGUAAAGCACUUUCAGUCGUGAGGAAGGUAGUGUAGUUAAUAGCUGCAUUAUUUGACGUUAGCGACAGAAGAAGCACCGGCUAACUCCGUGCCAGCAGCCGCGGUAAU
rnacentral:rRNA from 1 species